ACUAAAGGAUUGGCUGGGGUCGUCCUCAAUUUAAGCAUCAAAAGACGAAGAGAUGGGACUGAGCCUUUUUCUAAUUAGAACAAUAACUAUACGAUCUUUUAUACAUUAUUAUUCCGGCACCAGUUCACGUUUCAUGUCCUUUGACCUUCGGGGACGCAUCGCGGUCACCUUCUACACCAAGCAGGACCGGUGCCAUCCAAACCAGUCAGGUCUUAAUUAUCCGUUUGAUUGGGAAGCUUGAAUACAACUUGGACUUUGCAUAUAUUAUUAUAAUUUAAUCAAAAGUAGAAUCAAUCGUUCUGUUUCUCUUUACCAAAAAAUAAAAUCCUGAUGUUCUUUUUUUUUUUUUUUUUUUCUGUUUUUUUCUUUCAGAUUUGGAUGCCCGAUUCAUGUAUCAAGCACUAAAGUUUCCCUAGGAACCAGCAUUAUGUCCAAUGAGAAGUUCUUAGAUCUCAUGCAGGAAAAAGAAAAAAAGAAAAAACCUGUAGCAAAUAUUUAAUAAUUCAAUAUGUCAAGAGAGAGAAACUCUGGGAGUUUCAGAGAAAGAAAUCUCCCAUUGUUCUUCCACCGAUUCUCACUGACCCCCUUCCACCGAUUCUCUGGCCAUUCCAACCAUCCUUCUCACCAAUGCUCUUACCUACAGUCUUCUCUGGACAAACCCUCUCAUUUCGGAACGUUGGGCUCGAGACCGAGAACCUCUGGCAACGACAUAGGGCGACAUGGAAGAUCUUCGGAUCAGGCGAUGAAGAACUCUGGCCAAACUGGGAAACGCACUCAUCAUGGUCCUCCACAACAUUGUAACACAUUUUCCUCCAGUCUCCCCCAGUUCUCCCUUUACAAACCCACUAUCGCUAGACAGUAGACAUAUACGCCUGGUGCAAUAUGCGAGACCAGCGGUGGGGAAGCCGAAUGCUUGUCAUGCGGAGGGACUAUCUGCCACCCGUCGAUGCACUAAGAGCUAUUCAUUGAGCCAUCAGCAACUGGCUAACGAGGUUAAAAUUCCCAUCUCCCACCUGGCGGCCCGCACUCCAGCAGCGGGUGCAAACGCCAUACCAUUGGGUUGUGUCACCCCUCGGACGGUGGUCUUCUCGACUGGGGAAUGGGGAUCAGCAACGAAAGGCUCCCCUGUCAUCCCCGACCUACAAAUAUGAGAACUACGGGCGUUUUUCAGACUUUUCCGCUACCUCCAGUUCCGGUACGCCGUCUACAGCGCCGAGUGGAAGUCACGUCGCUCCUGUCUAUGAAUCACUCCACAAUUAUCCUCGGCAGCAGAAAACACUCGACACCUCUUUUCACACAGUGCACUCCACCAAAUCGGAGCGGCAACGGCGCCGGCAGUCUCCAGCAAUCUCCGUACAUUCUCUCGCCGCUAAGCCCGGCCACAACCAGCACUACAAGAGAAGCCACGAUUUUCUGCAGAUUUUUUCUCCAAAAAUUAUCUGCAGAUUUUCUUACGGAUAUGCUUGUAGAUUGAGUUUAGCUAAACAUUUCCUGCGAAAACCAAAUUCGCAAAAGAAAAUACAGAUAAUUAUCGAUGAAUUUUUAUUCCUUAAAAAAAUCUGCAGAAAAUAUUCCCGCCAUACGGUGGAAAUUUUUUUUAUUUUGACAGAUAAAGCAGUACCUGCUGUUUUUCCUAGAGAUUUUCUACCCACAAGAAAAAUCGCAGAGAAAAUCUACAAAAAAUAUUUUCUGCAGAUUUUUCUGUGAAUAUAUGCUGUGGUUUACUUGGGGAUUUAUUUUCUGGAGAUUUACCUGCGAAUUAUUUUUCCUGAGAAUUUACCUGUAGAUAUGUUUCUUAGAGAUUUACCUGGGAAUUUUUUUUUUCUGAAAUUUACAUACGAAUUUUGCUGUAAAUUUUAUUUACUGCAGAAUUUACUAUAGAUUUACUUGAAAAUUUUUUAAAUUUAUUUUCUUUUAUUAUACUUUUAUGAAAUUUUUUGAAGAUUUAAUAAAGAAUUCACUCUUACACUUAUUUAAAUAUUAUCUUAAUAAUACUUUUGUUCAAAAUUUGAUAUAUAUUUUUUUAAAAAUUUAAUAAUAUAGUAAAUUAUAAAAUAUUAUCAAAACUCAUAAAAUAAUAUCUGAAGUCAAGAAAUAGUAAAUAAAAUUAUAAAAUAAUACCUAUUGAUUUAGACGGCCGCAACCUAGUCCGUACACUCCAACCACUUCACUUCGAUGCCCAUUUUCCAUUGGCGUCACCUCCUCCAUCUGAUGGAAAUUGGAGGAUAUGGGCUUCUUCUAUGAGCAGUAAAAAACUUGCACAAAAAUUUAUAUUUUUUAAAUAAAUAUUUAUUAGAUAAUAUUUAGAUAAAAAAUAAUUUAUUUAUAUUUUUUAUGUAUUAAAAAAUAGUGUCAAAAAUUAUUACUCAUAUUUUUAUUAUUAUGUAAACAUUAAUUUAUAAUAAUAUUAUGUUCUAUUAUAAUAAUAUAUUAUAUAGUAUUUAUUAUAUAUUAUAUUUAUAACAUAAUAUUAUAUAUUAUAUUAUUAUUAAUAAAAUAAAAAUAUUAUUUUUUUAAAUAUUUUUAAUUUUAUAAAAAAUAUUAUUUAUGAAAAAAUAGCUUACCCAGCUAGAAAAGCAUAAUAAUAUGUGUAAGUCAACAAAUGAAAAAUUAUUAUAUAUUUUUUAUAAUAUUAAUCAACUAAAGAAUUGGCUAGGGUUGUCCUGAAUUAACGCAUCAAAAGAUAGAUAGAUGGGACUAAGAGGGUGUUUGGUUAGAGGGAGUAGCGGUCUGGAAUCGAAAUCGGAAUGAGUGACUUUCAUUUUAACCAUCUGAUUGGAAAGAGUCCCAUUCCAAUUCUGAUUUCGAGAUAGAAUGGGAAUGGAUCAAUCUAUAUAGAACCCAAUCCCUACUCUCCUCUAUGGAUUCAAUUUUUCAUUCUAAUUCUGAUUCCGAUUUCGAUUCUUGUUACGAACCAAACGCUUCAGAGAAUUUGAUCAUUUUUAUUCUAAUUUUAAAUUAUUUCGAUUCUCAUUCUCAUUCUAUUUUUUUUAAUUAAAAUAAUAACAAUACGAUCUUUUAUACAUUAUUCUGGCACCGAUUCACGUUUUAUGUUCUUUGACAUUAGGGGACGCACGGCGGUCACCUUCUACACCAAGCAGGACCGGUGCCAUCCAAACCAGUCAGGUCUUAAUUAUCCGU
rnacentral:lncRNA from 1 species